rnacentral:rRNA from 1 species
UACGAAGGGGGCUAGCGUUGCUCGGAAUUACUGGGCGUAAAGGGAGCGUAGGCGGGUUAUCAAGUUGGAGGUGAAAGCCCAGGGCUCAACCUUGGAAUUGCCUUCAAAACUGAUAGCCUAGAGUAUGAUAGAGGUAAGUGGAACUCCGAGUGUAGAGGUGAAAUUCGUAGAUAUUCGGAAGAACACCAGUGGCGAAGGCGACUUACUGGACACAUAUUGACGCUGAGGUGCGAAAGCGUGGGGAGCAAACAGG